rnacentral:rRNA from 1 species
GAGUGGAAUUCCACGUGUAGCGGUGAAAUGCGUAGAGAUGUGGAGGAACACCAGUGGCGAAGGCGACUCUCUGGUCUGUAACUGACGCUGAGGAGCGAAAGCGUGGGGAGCGAACAGGAUUAGAUACCCUGGUAGUCCACGCCGUAAACGAUGAGUGCUAAGUGUUAGGGGGUUUCCGCCCCUUAGUGCUGCAGCUAACGCAUUAAGCACUCCGCCUGGGGAGUACGGUCGCAAGACUGAAACUCAAAGGAAUUGACGGGGGCCCGCACAAGCGGUGGAGCAUGUGGUUUAAUUCGAAGCAACGCGAAGAACCUUACCAGGUCUUGACAUCCUCUGACAAUCCUAGAGAUAGGACGUCCCCUUCGGGGGCAGAGUGACAGGUGGUGCAUGGUUGUCGUCAGCUCGUGUCGUGAGAUGUUGGGUUAAGUCCCGCAACGAGCGCAACCCUUGAUCUUAGUUGCCAGCAUUCAGUUGGGCACUCUAAGGUGACUGCCGGUGACAAACCGGAGGAAGGUGGGGAUGACGUCAAAUCAUCAUGCCCCUUAUGACCUGGGCUACACACGUGCUACAAUGGACAGAACAAAGGGCAGCGAAACCGCGAGGUUAAGCCAAUCCCACAAAUCUGUUCUCAGUUCGGAUCGCAGUCUGCA